CAAACACGACAGGGGAGCGUCCACCCGACCUGGGUAGCGGCGCUGAGAGUGCGGUUCGCCGCAGACCCUCGAACCUGCUCCGGUUAGUACCGGCGAAGGGAGUCGAGUUCUCUUCGGC
rnacentral:ncRNA from 2 species